CAAGAAAACUCUCUCUAAGCAACUCGGCAAAAUAGCCCCAUAACUUAUGGAAAAGGGGUGCCCCUCACAAAAGGCGGUCACAUCGACCAGGCCCGGGCGACUGUUUACCAAAAACACAGGUCUCCGCAAAGUCGUAAUACCAUGUAUGGGGGCUGACGCCUGCCCAAUGCCGGAAGGUCAAGGUAGUUAGUGAACUGAUGACAGGGAAGCCGACGACCGAAGCCCCGGUGAACGGUAGUCGUAACUAUAAUGGUCCUAAGGUAGCGAAAUUCCUUGUCAGGUAAGUUUCGACCCGCACGAAAGGCGUAACAAUCUGGGCACUGUCUCGGAGAGAGGCUCGGUGAAAUAGACAUGUCUGUGAAGAUGUGGAC
rnacentral:rRNA from 7 species